rnacentral:rRNA from 1 species
AUGACGACAUUUGUCGCCUCUAUCCGGCACCGUAGUAGGACCGAUGAAGUCCACCACCGUGGCGGCCAUCCUGGCCAUAGUUGUGGCAGCAGCGCUCGCCACGGCCGUGAACGCAGCGCGACAUGCGCAAACUGCCUCUGCUGCAGCCAAUACGGGUACUGCUGCAGCCACGAUGCCUACUGCGGCGCCGGCUGCCAGAGCCAGUGCAGCGGCUGCGGUCCCAGCGGCCAGGGCGUGUCCUCCAUCCUGUUCAGGGACCUCUUCGAGCGGCUCCUCCUCCACCGCAACGACAGGGCAUGCCUAGCUCGUGGGUUCUACACAUAUGACGCCUUCCUUUCCGCCGCCGCCGCAUACCCGUUCUUCGGCACCACCGGGAGCACGGAGAUGCGGAAGCGGAAGGUGGCGGCCUUCCUCGGGCAGACCUCCCACGAGAACACCGGUGGGUGGGCCACGGCACCAGACGGCCCCUACUCCUGGGGCUACUGCUUCAAGCAAGAGAAAGGGGAUGGCACACCGAAAAGCUACUGCGAGCCAAAGCCAGAGUGGCCGUGCGCGUCGGGCAAGAAGUACUACGGCCGCGGCCCGAUCGAGCUCACCUGGAACUACAACUACGACCAGGCAGGGCGGGCUAUCGGGGUGGACCUGCUGAACAACCCGGACCUGGUGGCGACAGACGCGACGGUGUAG